rnacentral:rRNA from 1 species
GAUGAACGCUGGCGGCGUGCCUAAUACAUGCAAGUCGAGCGAACAGACGAGGAGCUUGCUCCUCUGACGUUAGCGGCGGACGGGUGAGUAACACGUGGAUAACCUACCUAUAAGACUGGGAUAACUUCGGGAAACCGCAGCUAAUACCGGAUACUAUCUUGAACCGCAUGGUUCAAUCGUGAAAGACGCUUUUGCUGUCACUUAUAGAUGGAUCUGCCCCGCAUUAGCUAGUUGGUAAGGUAACGGCUUACCCAGCCGACGAUGCGUAGCCGACCUGAGAGGGUGAUCGGCCACACUGGAACUGAGACACGGUCCAGACUACUACGGGAGGCAGCAGUAGGGAAUCUUACGCAAUGGGCGAAAGCCUGACGGAGCAACGGCGAGUGAGUGAUGAAGGUCUUCGGAGCGGAAAACUCUGUUAUGAGGGAAGAACAAAUGUGUAAGUAACUAUGCACGUAUUGACGGUACCUAAUCAGAAAGCCACGGCUAACUACGUG